CCUACGGGAGGCAGCAGUGAGGAAUAUUGGUCAAUGGGCUAAGGCCUGAACCAGCCAAGUCGCGUGAGGGAAGACGGUCCUAUGGAUUGUAAACCUCUUUUGUCGGGGAGCAACGAGACCACGUGUGGCCGAAUUGAGAGUACCCGAAGAAAAAGCAUCGGCUAACUCCGUGCCAGCAGCCGCGGUAAUACGGAGGAUGCGAGCGUUAUCCGGUUUUAUUGGGUUUAAAGGGUGCGUAGGCGGAAGAUUAAGUCAGCGGUAAAAUCGAGGGGUUCAACCCCAUUAAGCCGUUUAUACUGGCGAUCUUGAGUGCGCGAGAGGUAUGCGGAAUGCGUGGUGUAGCGGUGAAAUGCUUAGAUAUCACGCAGAACUCCGAUUGCGAAGGCAGCAUACUGGCGCCCGACUGACGCUGAGGCACGAAAGCGUGGGGAUCGAACAGGAUUAGAUACCCCGGUAGUC
rnacentral:rRNA from 1 species